GGGUAUUUUAAGAGCAAUGCGAUUUUAAUCAUCCUGUAAAGACCCGAUCCUGAAGGAACUAGAUGAACCGUGAACAUUGCUGAAUGUAAUAUCACAUUUGAGAAUAAUACUCUUAAUCCAAUUCUAAAAACAAUAUCUUAUAAUUAAAAAUAAUAACUUAAAUUCUUGAAUAAGCCGAAGCAAGUACGAUUAAUGUAACUGAAAUCCAAAUAGAUCCAAAGAAAAACUCCCAAAACGCCACACCACUUGGAACUACUCUUUUUAUUCCUCAAACUCAUUCUCAUUGAACUCACCUGAAAAAGAAGAAAGAGGUAAGUAAUCGGAGAAUUACUCAACGAGCAAAAACCGAGAGCUCAUUUUCAUUCCCACUUAUCUCCAACCAACAAACCAAGAAUAAAUAUAAACAAGCAAUCAAACAUCGCACUCUAGAAGUGCACACACACACAAUUAACAAACAAGAGGGGUGCCACCAUAUAUCUCAUUAUUCAUCUCUUGAGCCCAUUGCUCAUAGCAUAAAUGUGUUACACAGACUAUCAUAAGGGCUUGUCAAAACCCUCCACGGUGGUAAGUACUGCAGUCCCCUCUAGGCGGCUCGUCAGCCCUAUCAAACAAGUCUGUACCACAAGUGCCUCUAUCAUUUGUGACGUAUACUUCGUCUAACUACAUUACACACACUAAUCAAUCAACAAGGUUAUCACACAAGUAUGCUGAUUCUUUCUCUAAUGAGAUCUUAGUCCAGAUUCAAUUAUAAGAUGCAGAUCUAACAUAUGCAACAUAGAAGCAUGCCUGUACUUUGUAUCACACAGUAUACCUGAGUAUACUUAGACUCAACAAGUACGAAAAAGAUAAGAGAACAUAAAAAUAAGCCUGGAUCUAAUCCUCGCCUUGACAGUUGAGCAGAUCAAAUCUUGAAGACGAGUGACAAAAGGAUCAAUAAAAUGACAAGAAGGCUGAGACUCGACGGUGACUUUUUAUUUUUCCAGCAGCGACGGCGGACGGCGUCAGACGGCAACAGCAGCGGCUGACCAGAGCUUCUCUCUCUCUCCCUCUCUCUCUCUCUAUCUCUCUCUCUA
rnacentral:lncRNA from 1 species